GAAUUCCCUUGCCUGGCCUUUUAAUUACAACCCUGCUGGGAAUGACUCCUUGAUGGCACGACCUCAGGGCCAGGCUUGCAAGAACCACUCCUGGGUCCAGGAACCCCGUUGAGGCAGACUUAGACCCUCUGAUCCCCCAACUCCCAUGUAUGCUGGACAAGGCUUCACAGAGGAAGCACCCGCGGGGGGAGGGGCGAGGGAGCAGGGAUUGGCAUUGGUCCCGACGAUGUGUGACAAACACUGGGCCGUGUGUGUUUGCUUUCUUUAUGACCAAGGGUGCUGGCGGGGGGAGGCUUUGGGACUCAGGAUUGCUUCCUCGGUGAACCAGGCUGCCAGGGAGGGGCUGGCUCUGUGGCUGGUGGGGCGGACCCGGUCCACUCCCCUCGGGGUCCCUUCAUUUCUAGAAGGAGUGUCCGGCCUCACCCUUGUGACAGGCACUGCUCUUCCAGGACAAGGCUUUUCUGAACUGAUUCCAACUUUAGAAAAGCAAGACUGGUGCUGGCGGGACGUCGUGGAACACAGAACGAGGGGCCGCGGAGGGCGCGCCUUGUUUCUGAAGCACAGCACCCGUCCCGUUUGUCCUCAGUACCCGCUCUGUGCAGGAGGACCUCCUGGGUGUGAUGGCAGCCUUGCAGGAGGGCAUAGCAUUGUUUUGCCCGUGUGUCACCAGGAGGGCUUCCUGGAGGGAACAGCUUUGGGCAGAGGGUGGCCUUGCCGCCCUGAAGGAAUGUUAUGGCCAUCUGACGUUUACGUGUGGCUGAGGCAUGAGACCCCGCCUGGCUUUGGGGGACCACCGCAUCUUGGAGUGUUGCUGGUUCCCUUUCUUCAUGGCGAAUAUACAGAGGGAGACUCUUACUUGCGUAUCAAACUCUGA
rnacentral:lncRNA from 1 species